rnacentral:rRNA from 1 species
UACGUAGGGGGCCAGCGUUGUCCGGACUUACUGGGCGUAAAGCGCGCGCAGGCGGACGCGUAUGUGCCGUGUGAAAGCGCCGAGCUUCCCUCGGCGAGGUCACGGUAGACAGCGCGUCUGGAGCCUCGGAGAGGUCGGUGGAAUUCCGGGUGGAGCGGUGAAAUGCGUAGAGAUCCGGAGGAACACCCAGGGGGAAACCAGUCGACUGGGCAUCUACUGACGCUGAGGUGCGAGAGCGUGGGGAGCGAACCGG